UUCUGCGCCGAGCGCCUGCGCAGGGGGUGGGUUCCUGCCCCAAGGCGGAGGCUGGUCCAGGAACGGUUGCUGAUGGAGAGCCGGGGAGUGAUCCUUCGCUGGAAAACGGUGACCCCUAAGGUUAAGGAUCUAACAGCACUCGGAGGAAAGAGAGAGAGCCUCAAUCCACUGUCUUUGUGUGGGAAAAAAAAGAAAAAAUCCGGAAGGCAGAGAGGAGGAAAUACAGUGUGAAUCCGGGUCCUGAAGUCUUUGUUAACAGUGUGGCUACUGAUGGAAAAUGACUUCCUGGUCGCAUGUGCCAGAGGGCUGAGGGUUCCUGCAGAUGUUCCACACAGGGGCGUCCGAGGUUCCCCAGAACAGACAGCUAGAGGUCGAAACCAGGGCACAACGAAAUUGCUCCUACACAGAAUCGCUGAGGUCUGCAAGGGAGAAGUUGCAGCAGCAGUGGCUGAAGCGAGAGCUGUGUCUGAUGAGACUGGAAGUGGUUCACCAUCCAGACCUGUGAAGGGGUGCAUUUUACCUACUUCCGUGCUAAAAGCUGGGCUGUCGCAGGUUCAUGGAAGCAGGCAGAAGACAUGAGACGGCUGGGUCGGAGACAAAGGAUUUCAUUACCUACGGCACAGCCAGCCUGAGCUGCAGGUUCCUGCUUCCCCAAGUCCCACAGGGACAACAAAGAGGAUGGAGCUCUAAGGAAAUGAAUGGACCACAGGCCGCACUCAGGCACGUCCUCAACUCCCACUGCUGUCUAGGAGCAUCUUUCUUGGCUUAAACCAACAAACAGGGAUCUAAAAGCAGGCCAUUCCUCUGCACUCCUUUGGGAGCAAAUGAACUUUGAAGAAUUCCCGGAGAUGUCUGAUUCCUGUAGUACCAGGUUUCCGUCUGCCUCUGGCAAGCAGGCAAAUACCAAUCUGUACCGAAGACCAGGAAGCUGUGGGCGGAAUCCACCUGGCUCAAGGCUUUGCCAUUCUGAGAUGCCCUCCAUCAGGACCGUGGUACUCGGGGACCUCACUGCAAGGUAGCAGAUUUGAAAACUGGAGGCUUUGGCAUCAGACACAUCUGGUUUCAAAUCCUGGUCCUGCCAUUCACCAGCUGUAUGAUCUUGAGCACGUUGCUUUGCUUCUCAGUUCCUGUUUCCUGUGUAAUGGGCACAAACAGGGUAAUCGUGAGGCUUACGUAAGAUAAUGCACGUUAAAGCCCCACCAUAGUGUCUGACAGAGGAAGGACCCUGAAUAAAUGUUAACUAUUAGCACAACUAAAUACAUUUUUCAAGUUUGAAACCACUGGCAUAAUUUUAACAUACUUGGCAAUAACAUUUCCAAUAUUAUAAGUGGAAAGUUACUGGACUCUUAGCUUCGAGAAUGAGCAUCAUAGAUAUUAAAAAUCUUCCUCUGAAAUUUAAAGGAUCUUUAAAGAGAUUUGGAUUAUGAUUUUUAAAAAGGCAAAGACAGAAUGACCCUCUAAUUAGCGGUGAUCACCACUUCUAAAGUAGCCACUACUAAAGUAGCCUGAGAAAGCUUCCUCCAAAAAUUUUCCUAGCAUCAGUUUUAGGAACUCAAGCCGAGGAUACCAUGCCUCCCCUCCCCCAACUCCAUCUUGCAUACAUGACAGUUAAAAAAUUGAAUAAAAUAAUGUAAAGGUCACUAUGCCAAGACAAAACACAUUUUAAAAUCCAGUAAGGAAGCAGUAAAUAAGCAUUAGAAAUUUAUCUAGUAAUGUCAAUGGUGAAAAAUCUUAAGACCAACAUUUUUUCAACACUGUUUUCAUUUUUAGAGGAGAAGAAAAGGGGAGAAAGACAGGCAUGGGAUGAAUAUUAUAGAACACAUUUAGCUAACUCCACUAGGUAUUUUAUUUUCUUUAAUUAUUUUUUGAAGUUAAUUGACCCGUAUACAUCACUCUAUUUAAUGUGGUUGUCAUUGACUAGAAAUGCAUAAUUCUCUGACUUUCCAUAUUCAUUCAUUUAACAAGUGUUUAUUGAUACCCACAGUAAAGCUUAGUUUAUGUGGUGAGCUAAAACAGACGUCGUCUGUUUAAUAGUAAAAAAAAAAAAAUCCCUUUGACAAGAGUAUCUUCAUAUGUCGGCGAAAUAUGUUUAUGCUUAAAUCAUUUUUUAGUAUUGUGAUUCAUUACGACCUUCCAAAAGGCAGAUUUUAGAGAAUGGAGGUCAAGGUAUUUUGUCUCUGUGACACAAAAUAAUGUGAGAAAAGACUCGAAAGAAUUUAACUUGAAGUGGUUGCUCUUAUGGCAUACAAAACAGGCUUUGUCUCAUUUUACUUGGCCAAGCGAGAUAAAGAGGAUAAGCAACAGUAUUGUCCAGAGGCCAAAAGAUCCUAGCGGCAAAAAAUUACAGACGGCUUCACAAUACAGCCCAAGUUACUGGCAUCUAGUAAAGGAUGCAUUUAGGAAUACAGUAAACUUUUGUUUAUCUUGGAAUUCAAACAACCAGCAUAUGAAAAUAACUGAGAUGUUUUCCCUUCCUGUUCUGCACUCUAUUUUUAUGGGGGAAAAAAAAAGACAAAUAGGAAAUAUGCUGUUUUCAGAAUUUUGCUUUAAAAACCCAAACCGACAUGUGCCAUUGGUCAGUCAGGUUGAGUGUCAUCUCUCCCAUCUUCCAUAUAGCGAUACUCUGAAAACCGUUCAGGGUCAAAUACAUCAAGUGACAGCAGACCAGCAGACUUACUUUUCCUCUUUUUUUUUUUUUUGUCUUUUUGCCAUUUUUUGGGCCGCUCCCU